rnacentral:rRNA from 1 species
AUUGAACGCUGGCGGCAUGCCUUACACAUGCAAGUCGAACGGUAACAGGUUAAGCUGACGAGUGGCGAACGGGUGAGUAAUGUAUCGGAACGUGCCCAGUCGUGGGGGAUAACUGCUCGAAAGAGCAGCUAAUACCGCAUACGACCUGAGGGUGAAAGCGGGGGAUCGCAAGAGCUCGCGCGAUUGGAGCGGCCGAGAUCAGAUUAGGUAGUUGGUGGGGUAAAGGGUGACCAAGCCGACGACCUGUAGCUGGUCUGAGAGGACGACCAGCCACACUGGGACUGAGACACGGCCCAGACUCCUACGGGAGGCAGCAGUGGGGAAUUUUGGACAAUGGGCGCAAGCCUGAUCCAGCCAGGCCGCGUGCGGGAAGAAGGCCUUCGGGUUGUAAACCGCGUUUGUCAGGGAAGAAAAGGUUCUGGCUAAUACCUGGGACUCAUGACGGUACCUGAAGAAUAAGCACCGGCUAACUACGUG